CAGCCGCCGCGGUAAUACGAGGGGGGCAUGCGUUGUUCAGAAUUAUUGGGCGUAAAGGGUGCGUAGGCGGUUUGACAAGUCUUAUGUGAAAUCUCUGGGCUCAACCCAGAGUCUGCAUGGGAAACUGUCGAGCUUGAGUAUGGGAGAGGUGAGUGGAAUUUCCGGUGUAGCGGUGAAAUGCGUAGAUAUCGGAAGGAACACCUGUGGCGAAAGCGGCUCACUGGACCAUUACUGACGCUGAUGCACGAAAGCUAGGGGAGCAAACAGGAUUAGAUACCCCGGUAGUCCCUGUCUCUUAUAC
rnacentral:rRNA from 1 species